rnacentral:ncRNA from 1 species
AUCCUGUUCGGUAAGGUCUAACCAACCACCGAUAGCGAGUCUUGUGCUGUAAACAGUAAUGCUUGCAGUAAAGCGUAGACAGCGAGGAAGCGGGGUUACAAGGUGAUGGAGCCUCGAAAUUUUAUUAUUCGGAGGGCUGACACUGUAAUCAGAGUGGAAAGCAAAACACACAGGUCGGUAAGGUGAGAACUGAUGUGCCUCUGCGGGGUCAAAGAGC